UUGUACUUCAUUCUUAAAAUAACUUCACAAUGCCAAACAAAUCUUGGUCUUAAAAAUAUAAAUACAUUUAUUUUCAAUAUGCAAAAUAUCAUAACUAUUUAAUAUUUCAUUUUGUUUCAAAUGCAUUUUAAAAAGCAUCUUCAAAGAUGCGCCUUAAUGUAUCGCGUAUCAGAUUUGUGCAUGGACUCUACGCUCGCGAAUCUUACCGUGACAGUCAUCUGAUGACUGAUCGCUAUCUGUUUUAUAACAAUGUAUGCUCGGGGUGAGAACGCAUUACUGGCUACGCAUUCGGCUACCAUCGUGACGCAAGGGGAGUUAUUAAUAUCACAAGAACGGGAUGUCCUUUCUUCUGCACCGGUCACUUGAGGACAAGAAUCACAUGCGUUCGGCGUGACUGAGUGUUUAGUGAGAGGACAGACGAAGCACACGCGAGUCUCUCUCGAGACAUCUGGGUUAGAGGAAGAGUUGAAUGCUGCGCAGCCGAUGAGCCUCGCCCACUUUUGAACCCGUUGACUCUCUGCACUCUGAUCAAAACAACCACACAAAGAAUGUGCACGCAAGGGGGAAGGAUUUUGUUUUCAAACUGAGUAGAAUACUCCUUAGUGUGUCAUUUGUACCUCAGCAGAGUGGAACUAUGACAUCGGCAGCCUGGAGCUUUUGGUGGUCAAGCUGGCCUUGGACGAGUGGCACCACUGGUUGGAGGGAGCCAAAGAACCAUUUGUGGUCUGGACCGACCUCAAAAAUUGAGUACAUGCGAUCAGCUAAAAGAUUAAACUCUCGACAGGCACGUUGGGCACUGUUCUUUAUGCGAUUCAAUUUUACGAUCUCAUAACGUCCUGGCUCCAAUAACAUUAAGCCUGACGCGCUCUCUUGUGUUUUUCCUUGACCCAGUAAUCUGGGACAUUUAUCUAGAAAUCUGCAGACACAUGUUAGAAAUGUAGGUGUUAUUUUUGACUCUGACCUAAAUUUAAACAAAUUAAUUCUGUAGUCAAAAGCAGUUUCUUUCAGCUCAAGAAUAUUACAAACUAAAGACAUUUCUGUCAUUCAAAGACCUGGAGACUGUAGUUCAUGCAUUUAUUUCAUCCAGGCUUGAUUACUGUAAUGCACUCUAUCUGGGAAUUUCUCAGUCUUCACUGUCAUGCCUUCAGUUAUUCCAGAACGCUGCUUAACUGAGACUAAAAAGAGGGAUAGUAUAUCUCCAGUGUUGGCCUCUCUCCACUGGCUUCCUGUCAAAUACAGAAUCCAGUUUAAAAUCCUAUUGUUUGUCUAUAAGGGUCUGUAUGGUUUGGCUCCUCGUUAUAUUGCGGAUCACCUCUCUCACCAUCACACCUCUAGACCUCUCCGGUCAUCAAAUAUUCUGCAGCUGACUGUGCCUUUUCAAUUGCAGCCCCACGACUCUGGAAUAAUUUAACUCCACAUAUAAAGUCUUCCCCAAAUUUUGAUGGUUUUAAAUCUCUUCUUAAAACUCAUUUGUUUUCUGUAGCUUAUGGAAAUAUGCAGGUUUAGUGGUUCUCUUUUAUUGUCAUUGUGUCUUUCAUGUUGUUUCAUGUAAUUAUUGAUUUUGUACAGCACAUUGGCCAACUGUCAUUGUUUUUAAAUGUGCUAUAUAAAUAAAAGUGACUGACUGACCCAAGCACUCGGUCUGUCCCGAUGCCAUCGUUCCACCCGAUCGGGUGGUAGCAGUGGUCUCGUGGGGGAUCGAGACCUGGGUCAAGAGAGCGCUUAGGAUGGUACCCACCCAGAGGGGAUGCCCGGAGGGUCUUUUGUUUGUUCCUGUGUCGGUCAGAUCACCUGUCCUCCAGUGUUGCCAUGCGUCCAGUCAUCCAGGAGUCAGAUGCACAUUGGCGCUGCUGCGUCAGAGGUUCUGGUGGCCAACAAUGAUGAGGGAUGUCUGUCGGUUUAUGUUGGCCUGCCCAGUUUGUGCUCAAAACAAAUCCUCCAAUUGCCCACCUGCUGGCCUCCUCCACCCCCUCCCUAUCCCUUCCCAUCCCUGGUCCCAUAUAGCCCUUGAUUUUGUCAUCGGUCUCCCCCCUUCCCUGGGAAAUACUGUGGUGUUAAUGGUGGUGGACCAUUUCUCCAAGGCUGCUCACUUUAUCCCCCUCCCCAAGCUCCCCUCGGCCCGGGAGACAGCGGUCACUGUUGUGGACCACGUCUUCCACAUCCAUGGCCUCCCGGUGGAUGUGGUUUCCAACAGGGAUCUGCAGUUUGUCUCCCACUUCUGGAGAGAGUUUUGCUGGCAGCUAGGUUCCUCCAUUAUUCUGUCCUAUGGUUUCCAUCUGCAGACUAACGGCCAGACCAAGUGGGCGAAGCAGGACUUUGAACAGAUUCUCUGUUGUAUGGCCUCCCAGAACCUUGCAUCCUGAACCAUCUCUCCUGAGUUGAGUAUGCUCACAACCCCUGGUGGUGUCAUUUAUGAGGACAUCACCUUUUCAGUUGAGUCUUGGUUACCAACCUCCUUUGUUUUCUUCCCAGGAGCUGGACGCCUUCUCGGCUCUGGCGUUUGUUAGACAUUGUCGUCAGACCUUGGCUCAGGCUCGGGGUGCUGUACUCCAGGCUAGGGACCGCACCAAGGCCCACGCUGUUUUGUGCUGCUCAGCCCCACCGGUCAACAUCUCGGGCCAGAAGAUCUGGCUGUCUAUCAAGGACCUCCCGCUCAAGACAUCGACCCAUAAACUUUUCCCCUCGGUUUGUGGGCCCUUUUCUCAUCACCAAAGUGUUGAGUCCGGUGGCGGUGCGGCUCAAACUCCCUCCCUCCUUGUGUAGAGUCCAUCCAGUCUUACACAUUUCCCACAUUAAGCCCAAUGUGCGUCCCUCCCAUAACCCUCCUAAUUCCCCUGUCCCUCCUCCUCCCUUCGUGUUUGAUGGGGCUCCUAUUUACAUUGUCCGGUGGCUGCUGGAUGUCAGGCAGAGGGGGUGGGGCUUCCACUACCUGGUCGACUGGAGAGGCUAUGGUCCCGAGGAGAGAUGUUGGGUCCCUGCUCGGGACAUCCUGGAUCCAUCCCUCAUAGACAAUUUCCACUGUCGUCACAGGUCGGUCCCAUCUGCAGCACCAGGAGGCACUCCUGAAGGGGGAGGUAAUGUUGGGAACUCUGGUUGAUCUGGUGGUGAGUCAUUCUGUUUUGUCAUGCUUCCCGCUUCUUGCUUUCCCCAUGUGUCUGUUUGUUUGUUAUCCCACAUAUGCUGUGUUACAUGGAUUAUUGCAUCAAUCUCAAAGCACUGCUUAUCAAAAACAACCAAAACAACAAACAAUUGCACGAGGGAUUCACAUUGAUCUCAGACCAUCGGCGCUCAGGAACAACCAACAACAACAAACAAUUGCGGUAAGUCAUGGCAUCCACUCAUGUUAUUGCUUCCUGCAUUACAUGCCACAUGUUUACUAUAGCUUCUUCAGUCAGCAGUGAGGGAUUUACACGUGAUAAAUGUAAGGAAUUAGUCAGGCUGAUGGAGAAGAUUAAUGAGUUAGAGACAUGCAUCCAAACACUAGUGGAGGUCAGUGAGAAAGAGAAGCCGGUAGAUACUGUUUCAGAUGUAGGUAGAACAGAGAGCAACACACAAACUUUGGUUACGGCUGUAGAGCCCCUGCAGCAGGGCAUUUGGGUGACAUCACGGCAGCAUACUCCCUCAGCAAAGCGACACCACUCUCCCAUUCCUGUUAGGGUUUCCAAUCGAUUCUCCCCACUCAGUAAUGCACCCACUGAGAAUCAUGUUGAGAAAACCUUGGUUAUAGGAGAUUCUAUUGUUAGGAACAUGGAAAUAGAGACUCCAGCCACUAUUGUUAAAUGCAUUUUGGGGGCUCGGGCAUCUGACAUCAGAUCAAAUUUACAAGUGCUGGCUAAUGCUAAACGUAAAUUUUCUAAAUUUGUUAUUCAUGUCGGCACUAACGUUGUCCGGCUUCGCCAGUCGGAGAUUACUAGAGAUAAUGUUAAAGAGGUGUGUGAACUUGCAAAAAUGAUGUCAGACACUGUAAUAUGCUCUGGCCCCCUCCCUACUUGUCGUGGUUACGAGGUUUAUAGUAGAUUAGGGUCACUGUAUGGCUGGAUGUCUGAGUGGUGUCUGGAGAAUAGAAUAUGAUUUAUAGACAAGUGGAAGAGUUUUUGGGGUAGACCUGACCUGCUAAAGAGAGAUGGACUCCAUCCCUCCAGGGAAGAUGCCACUCUCCUCUCUAGUAAUUUGGCUCAUAAACUUAAUAGUGAUAGUAUUUGACUAACUGGGGCCCAGGUCAGGAAGUAGACAAACAGGCUAAUCCGAAUGUCUGCUAGCUGCCUUGAUGUCACACAGGUCACAUAAACUACAACACAUAGAGACAGUAUCACCUAGAUAUCAUAUAUAGACUAUGUCUGUUCCCUGAACAACCAAACACAAAACUCAUACUAAAUUAUUUAGAAAAAAUUUGAUUAUGAAAAAUUUCUGUCAGGAUUUAGGCCCCACAAUAGUACAGAGACUGCACUUAUCAGAGUUACAAAUUACUUGCUCAUAUCAUCUGAUCGCAGCUGCAUUUCUCUUCUACUGCUUUUAUAUCUUAGUGCUGCCUUCAUCAUAAAUCACAACAUUCUCUUGAAUAGGCUUGAGAAUUAUGUUUGUUGUGGACUUGCAUUAGAAUGGUUUAGGUCCUAUUUAGCAGACCGCUACCACUUUGUCUAUGUAAACAAGGAAUUGUCAAAUCAAACAAAAGUUAAGUAUGGAGUGCCACAGGGAUCAGUUUCAGGGCCUCUGCUUUUCUCCUUUAUAUAUACUUCCCAUGGGAGAUAUCAGGAAUCGUGGAAUAAGUUACCACUGUUAUGCCGACGAUACCUAACUUUAUAUUUCUUCGAAUCCUGAUGAAAUUUCACAAUUCUCCAAAUUAGCAGAGUGUAUCAAUGAAAUCAAAGAUUGGAUGGCCAGAAUAUUUCUUCUACUCAAUUCUGACAAAACUGAGGUAGUAAUUAUUGGACCAAAAACCUCUAAAAAAAUAAGCAGUCAAAUAUUUGACUCUUGAUGGAUGUACUGUUACAUCAUCAUCUACAGUGAAGAACUUAGGUGUUAUAUUUGAUACCAAUCUGUCCUUUGAAAAUAACAUUUCCAAUGUUUGUUGAACAGCAUUCUUCCACCUCAUUAAUGUUGCUAAGUUACGACACAUGCUCUCUGUUGCCGAUGCCGAAAAACGAAUUCAUGCAUUCAUGACCUCAAGACUAGAUUAUUAUAAUGCAUUACUGGUCAAUGUCCAGCAAGUUCAAUAAAUACAUUUCAAUUGGUUCAAAAUGCAGCAGCCAGAGUGCUGACUAGAACUAACAAAUGUUUACUCAUUUUAAACCAUGACUUGCACUGCACAUAAAUAAGUAAUAUCAGCGUUAUAUUCAUGCUGUUAGUCAGAGGGGAACUGGCCCCCACAGUGUGCCUGGUUUCUCCCAAGGUUAUUUUUCUCCAUUAACCAAGAUCUUAUGGAGUUUUGUGUUCCUUACCACAGUCGCCUUCGGCUUGCUCACUGGGGUUCUAAGUACAAUUAUCAUUUAAUUAUUUAUUUUUAAACACAAUUUACAAUUACACAAUGAUGACACUUAAGACUUUCUAGAUAUAACAGUUUCAUUUUCUGUUAAUGCAUGAUUUUCUGUAAAGCUUUGAAACUGUGUUUUGUGGAAAGCGUUAUACAAAUAAAAAUGACUUGACUUGCAAUUUGGCAGGCGCAUCAUUCUUAUCAGUUCCACCUGUCCCUUGUUUCCCUUCCCCUUUAUAACUCCCUCGUGUUUGCUGUGUUGUGCCAGAUUGUGUUUUGACUGACCUCAUGGUAGUUUGGACUCCUGUUGGUCUGUUUGUUCCUGCUGUUUGUCUUCUUUCUUUAGUUUUCAGGUGCCAGAUUCCAGUCAAUACUCUUCAUCUUUGCCAAACUUCCAUAUUCCAGCAGACUAACACCGCUCAUCAUCCGGUCCUCCUCUCCCGCUCUUCAGCUCUCUCCAUCAGCUGUGUUCUCCAUUCCGGUCUGGCCGUCAUCAGCUGAAGAAACCGGGAUCUCCAUUCCCCUCAGUCCCGUGUUUCAGCUGCCAUCUGCUCUGUGCAUCUCAGUGCUCUUUCUUUUGGACUAUUAUUGUUUACCGAGAUUUCAUUAAAGCUCAGUUAACCUUCCAUUGCUCUCUGGGUCCUAACAGUAAUGAUGCUGUAUAGCAAUGGUUUGUUUUUCUGAUACAAUGUUAAUAAAGUGAAUAUUCAACUAAAUUUUUACAUUUCAGAAGAAAAUGUGAAUGGUGCUUGUCCAUAUCGUUGCCCUGACACUAGGGUGUUGUGGAUGGUUGCCACAGCAUUGCUGUAUGGUUGCUAAGUUGGUUUCAUGAUGGUUGCCAAGUUAUUAACUCAUUGGAAUACAGUAUAGUUGCUAGGGUGUUCUGGGUGGUUGCUAGGAGGGAUGUGCAAAACUACCAAUUUUCAUAAUUGACGAGUCGGUCGGUUGUUUGAAUGACCAGUGUGCUAGUCGGUGUUAAGGAUAAUAAUCUAUAACAUGUGCUUCACCAUGAAUACCAACUUCUGCCAUCAGGAAGGAGGUUUAGGAUGCCAAGACAUAGGCUUAAGAAAUUCAAGUGCUCCUUUCUUUCGAUGUCCACUGGACUACUCAGUUAGAGGGGUUUUCAUUUGUAAUAAUGAGAUGUUGUAUCAGAAAUAAUGUGACGUGACUUGUAAUAAUGGGUGAUGACGUGAUGUCGUACUAAUGUAAUGUACUCAUCUCUUUGUUUAGCUGUUGUAUUUUUUUUAUUUUGUUUUGGGAUGGUGGUGAUUGCUUAAUCUGAUGCAAAGCAAAUUUCAGAGAAAUCGGACAAUAAAGUAUUAUUAUCAUAAUUAGGCUCCGUUAUGCUCAUGUGAUCCUGAUCAGGCACGUUUCAGAGGAAUAUACGAACGCUAAGCAGAAGCAUUACACUUCAACAUGGUAACUAAUGGAUAUUCACCAAAAAAAUAGGCUGAAUAUCUAACAUCUUAUUGUACAAGGGUGAUCCUCGCUGCACAUUCAAAAGCGCAGAACUGCAAGAUUAUGAUGUGGAUACACAUCUAGUUCAUGACAUCCAGCAGUUUAAACCUUUUUUACUGCAACUAUUUAUCUAAACAGUGUCAGACAGAAUCAGCAAAAGACUUUAAUCCCUCCACAGCACCUCAUAAAUAUGGGAACAUUACUCACAGCAGAGGAUUUAUCGUCCAUUAGUGAUCGUCUUGUAAUGUAUUGUUGAUGUGUCGCUUUGAUGGCUGAAACAGCAGCGGUGCAUAAAUGGACUAAACUUAAAGUAUUAAAGAAACAAAACUUCUUGUAUAAGGUUUUAAGGUGCUGACUAUAAUUCACUUUUAAGCACAAAAAGCUAAAAUCACCUAAAAACACUCUACAAGAAGUUAAAUUAAAUUGAGAAUUGUGUCUCGUAUUAAAACCACUACAUCUGCAAAUAAUAAUGUGAAUAGUCAACCACACUAAUUGACAAGUCAGUUGUUGGAUGAACAGUCAAUUAGUCGACCACCGUGGCUCAACCCUAGUUACUAGGACAUUGCUAGAUGGUUGCUAAGGAUGGUUGCAAGGUGGUUGCUUUACUGGCCCAUGUCAAAAGAAUUCUGGUCCCUAGAUAUGGUCCCUCCUUUUUUCACCUGUUCUGUCAUAAAAAAAUAAAAAAUAAAAAAAAAUAAUAAUAAAUCUGGUUUCUUAGAAAAGUAAUAUUACACAUUUUCUCAACAAACUGCACAAUUUGAGGUAUUCAUGUCUGUAGUAUAAACAGUGCGGAAUUAGUUAUGAGCUGAUGUUUCUGGUUUGGACGGAGACUAUUUAGCAGAGACGGGAGAAAUUGGAAUGCCCAACCAAGGAGCACUAAGCGCCCAACAGUCAACGGAUGUAGAAAGGAAGUCCCGCCUUACAGGUAAAAGAGCCAAUCACUUUUUAGAUACAGACUUCGCCUGUCCAUCAACUCUAGAACGUGCAUGCGCAUUAGCUAUACAGGUCAGGAAAAUUGCAUUUUUUAAGCGUAAUAUGAGGUAAAGAAGCACAAUUUAUUAUACCAGUUUUGACAGAUUUUAAGGCUGAUUUGAAAUAUGCUCUUUAAAUUGUAAUCUUGACCAACUGUUUUUGAGAUUUCAGUGUUCCCCCAUUCGAGUAGAUAGGAGCUGCAUUGUCAUGACUGGAAAUAGUCUCCCGGGAGCAUUCCAAAUAUGGCUGACAUUGGAUCAAAUCUCUAAACCAGAGUGCCAUGAGUAAUAUCAAUAGUGAUGCUUGCCUUAACAAUUUAUUCUAACAAAUAUUGAUCUAAAACUUUGGAGGUCAAUUUAAUAUAAUUUAAUUGUCUUAACACUAAUUGUUCGAUAGAGGUGUUUGCCUAAUGGGGGUUUGGUUUUUGUCUUUAAUUCAAACUGGUGACCUCUCUGUACUUCAAAAAGCUUGUUCUAAUUUAAUGAGAGCCUUGUUAAUCUGUCCUAUCAUUAGCUGCCUCAGGGCAUGACCUAACGCACUGCAGUCUGUUUGGCUUUUUGUAUGUGCUUCUUAUUGACAUCCGCUGUGAGGUGUGGAUGUUGGAAUAUUGAUGUACUGUCAAGUUCCAUAGGGAAUGUAUGUUAUAAUGUGAUUAUGGAUUCUAUAAUGAGUGCAGCAGUCUGGAUCGGGAAGUUUCCAUUCAUGUUCUUUAUAUAGAAAUACAUUUUUUAAACAUAUAUAACCUUUGAAGACUUACCAUGAGCUCUGAAAAUGUUAUGCUCUGAAUAUGCUUUUGUAGAAGCCAAAAAUCAGUGGAAUUUCAACUUCACUUUAAUAUAUAUAUAUAUAUAUAUAUAUAUAAUGUAUGUUUAUAUAAUGUAUAUGUAUGUAUAUAUAUAUGUAUAUGUAUGUAUAUGUAUGUAUGUAGCCAAUUGGAGGGAUUUCAUGUGAUUUAAGUCUAGUCAUAAAUUGAACAUGGCACCUUUAAGAGUUUUGCAACACCCGCUUUCCGGUACUCUCUCGUGUACAGACGUGAAAACAAACGUUGUGCAAGAGAGCUCCUGGUUUUGUUCAAUGGUUAAUAACUUUUUGGGUAAAUAACAAAUUUUACACAAGAUGCUUAUAAAUUGCAUUAAAUGUGUAUGUGUUCAGAAGAGUUGUAUGUUAAGAUUGAGUGUUUGUUAUGGAUCAUUUUUGAAGGAUGCAUAUGGAUUGCCUGUUUGGAGUUUGACCAUGUUUUCUGCACACAUGUAGAAUUGGGUAUGCAAAUUUAGUAUUAAUCAUAUCUCAUUUAAUUAUUUAUAUCCCAGAGUGUUUUCCAGUUUAAUGAAUAAGUGUAAUAUGCGUUAUAUGAAAACAGGUGUAAUGAGAAUUCUAGUGUUUUAAACUGUUGUACAUGUCCUUAAAGCCUGGUUAAAAAUGCAUAAAAUACUGUGAGUGUUUAAGCAUGUGCUAAGUGCUUAAAAUUCUUUGAGUGAUUUAAGCAUGUGUUAAAUGUGUAAAAUGCUGUGAAUGAUAUAAGCAUGUAUUAAGGUGAUGUAUGCUGAAGCGUAUGGUGGGCUAAUGCCCUGUUUGUAUUUUCUUUUGACAUUGGCCUCUACAGUAUUUCACUCCCAUAUUUCACUGAACCAUAUUCCAUUUUUGUAUUUCAUUCCCAUAUUUUUAUUUAUUUAUUUUUAUAUACGGCCCCAUCGAUCGCUGUUUUUUUCCCCUAAUUUUUCAACAGCCGUCAGAAUAAAA